rnacentral:rRNA from 1 species
GUACGCUGGCGGCACGCCUAACACAUGCAAGUCGAACGAAGUAGCAAUACUUAGUGGCAGACGGGUGAGUAACAUGUGGGUAUCUGCCCUUUGGCCUGGAAUAACACGAGGAAACUUGUGCUAAUACCGGAUAAGUCUUUACAGAGAAAGCUUUAUGCACCAUUGGAUGAGCCUGCACUUGAUUAGUUUGUUGGUGGGGUAAUGGCCUACCAAGACUGUGAUCAAUAGCUGAUUUGAGAGGAUGAUCAGCCACAUUGGGACUGAGACACGGCCCAAACUCCUACGGGAGGCAGCAGUGGGGAAUCUUGCACAAUGGAGGAAACUCUGAUGCAGCGAUGCCGCGUGAGUGAAGAAGGCCUUUGGGUUGUAAAGCUCUUUCGUCGGGGAAGAAAAUGACUGUACCCGAAUAAGAAGGUCCGGCUAA